UACGUAGGGGGCUAGCGUUGUCCGGAAUCAUUGGGCGUAAAGCGCGCGUAGGCGGCCCGGUAAGUCCGCUGUAAAAGUCAAAGGCUCAACCUUUGAAUGUCAGUGGAUACUGCCGGGCUAGAGUCCGGAAGAGGCGAGUGGAACUCCUGGUGUAGCGGUGGAAUGCGCAGAUAUCAGGAAGAACACCUAUGGCGAAGGCAGCACUCUGGGACGGUACUGACGCUGAGACGCGAAAGCGUGGGGAGCGAACAGG
rnacentral:rRNA from 1 species